CAUUUUUGUUUUAAAGAACCAACAACCAGUCAUUGCUUAGGACAAUCGAAAUACAUUUUGUGUUAAAAGGAUUUCUAAAUUAGCUAUUACUGAGUUCACGAACGCAUGCUUGAUCAAGAGAAUUGGGUGUACGAUAUCACGCGCUUUUAUUAAAGAACUCCUUGGUUAUUAUUAAGACAACCUACACACGCUUUCUGUACUAUUUCAUGCUUUUUUUUUAAUAAGUUCCUUCACACGAUUGUCUGUGGAAAGCUUAAUAUAUAAAAUUGCGUGUAGUUGCAUGUUCUAAGAGGAUAGGGGAUUGUAAAGUAUUCUCGAAUAAAAGAAAAAAAUAGGUGUUAUUUUGACAAAGUCGAUACUUUAUUUUCUAAAAUCUAUGUUGAUAAUCAAUGGAUUUAAUUUUUCAUGAAUGACGGUUAAAUCUCCGCUUAUUGAACAACAAGAAAUAGAUUUUGUUUGCACUGAUUGAAUUUCGCACAGAGACAAUAUACAUAUUGAUUUAAGUAAACAUUAAAGUGAGAGUUGUGAAUUAAAUUUGAUAAAAGGUGCAAUGGAUCACAUGUAUGGCUGAUAUACUGACAAAAAACGAAUAGGUCAUGGAUGAAUUUGAAGAUGAAGAUAUAGAUGUUCCAGUUUUAAGAUUAUAUCCGCUUCCAGAUGAAGAUGGAAAGAAAAUCACAGGGAAAAAGAACAAAUAUGUUCGAAAUGUAGUGACACCAACCAUAGCAUUCGGGAGGACUCAGUCUUUUCUCUCAGAUAGUAGUUGUUCACACACACCUGAUCGUCUGGUGUUUCCUGGACAAUAUCGACCAAAAAGUGCCGGCUGUAUGCUACGGGAGUUAAAAACACCAACUAUAGGUCGACAACGAAAUUCUAUGAGACCAGAUCCGGAACCAGAAGAAGUAAGAUAUUUACCGGAUGCACCAAAAAAAGUAUCACGUGAUGAGCUUGAAACAAUUGUAUCGCGUCUGCAACGACAAACUAAUUCUGGACGUGCGCGGACCGCAUUAACCAGAAGAAUAAACCAGAAAAGACAAGAGCAGUCUAAAAAUCUCCGGGUUGACUAUUUAGCAUUUGACCCUUAUAGAUUCAGAGGUUUGCGGAGAGUUACAAAAGAUGAAAUGGACAGUAUUGUGAAUCGGUUGUCUACUUUCCCGAACGACCGCAAACCAGCCGAAUCCGAACGCUACAGUAUCGGAAAGGAAAAUCAUGAAAAACUUGGUGUUUUAAAUAGUUAUAGGUGGAAAGGAAUUCGUAACUGUUAAAUAUUUAAGGUAUCUUUUGUAAAAUGUGCAAUAUUGUUUUGAAGUUUAGAUUAAAAUGUCAUUUAAAUAUAAA